rnacentral:rRNA from 1 species
GGGAAAGUAACGGGCAUGCCUAAUACAUGCAAGUCGAGCGGACAGAAGGGAGCUUGCUCCCGGAUGUUAGCGGCGGACGGGUGAGUAACACGUGGGUAACCUGCCUGUAAGACUGGGAUAACUCCGGGAAACCGGAGCUAAUACCGGAUAGUUCCUUGAACCGCAUGGUUCAAGGAUGAAAGACGGUUUCGGCUGUCACUUACAGAUGGACCCGCGGCGCAUUAGCUAGUUGGUGGGGUAAUGGCUCACCAAGGCGACGAUGCGUAGCCGACCUGAGAGGGUGAUCGGCCACACUGGGACUGAGACACGGCCCAGACUCCUACGGGAGGCAGCAGUAGGGAAUCUUCCGCAAUGGACGAAAGUCUGACGGAGCAACGCCGCGUGAGUGAUGAAGGUUUUCGGAUCGUAAAGCUCUGUUGUUAGGGAAGAACAAGUGCGAGAGUAACUGCUCGCACCUUGACGGUACCUAACCAGAAAGCCACGGCUAACUACGUGCCAGCAGCCGCGGUAAUACGUAGGUGGCAAGCGUUGUCCGGAAUUAUUGGGCGUAAAGGGCUCGCAGGCGGUUUCUUAAGUCUGAUGUGAAAGCCCCCGGCUCAACCGGGGAGGGUCAUUGGAAACUGGGAAACUUGAGUGCAGAAGAGGAGAGUGGUAUUCCACGUGUAGCGGUGAAAUGCGUAGAGAUGUGGAGGAACACCAGUGGCGAAGGCGACUCUCUGGUCUGUAACUGACGCUGAGGAGCGAAAGCGUGGGGGAGCGAACAGGAUUAGAUACCCUGGUAGUCCACGCCGUAAAACGAUGAGUGCUAAGUGUUAGGGGGUUUUCCGCCCCUUAGUGCUGCAGCUAAACGCAUUAAGCACUCCGCCUGGGGAGUACGGUCGCAAGACUGAAACUCAAAGGAAUUGACGGGGGCCCGCACAAGCGGUGGAGCAUGUGGUUUAAUUCGAAGCAACGCGAAGAACCUUACCAGGUCUUGACAUCCUCUGACAACCCUAGAGAUAGGGCUUUCCCUUCGGGGACAGAGUGACAGGUGGUGCAUGGUUGUCGUCAGCUCGUGUCGUGAGAUGUUGGGUUAAGUCCCGCAACGAGCGCAACCCUUGAUCUUAGUUGCCAGCAUUCAGUUGGGCACUCUAAGGUGACUGCCGGUGACAAACCGGAGGAAGGUGGGGAUGACGUCAAAUCAUCAUGCCCCUUAUGACCUGGGCUACACACGUGCUACAAUGGACAGAACAAAGGGCUGCAAGACCGCAAGGUUUAGCCAAUCCCAUAAAUCUGUUCUCAGUUCGGAUCGCAGUCUGCAACUCGACUGCGUGAAGCUGGAAUCGCUAGUAAUCGCGGAUCAGCAUGCCGCGGUGAAUACGUUCCCGGGCCUUGUACACACCGCCCGUCACACCACGAGAGUUUGCAACACCCGAAGUCGGUGAGGUAACCUUUAUGGAGCCAGCCGCCGAAAGUGAUCACGAUGAAUGGUU